UACCUCUCAAGGUUGCACCUGGAGAGUUUCCAGUACUCUCCCAGUCUCGACUAUGGGAGGGAGAGUCAAGCAGAGACCUUCCCAUUCCUAGCUUGGGCAGCGGCUAGUGAGUGGAAGGCCGUCUGCUACAAGU
rfam:Ornithorhynchus anatinus chromosome 2, whole genome shotgun sequence.